rfam:Mesocricetus auratus contig076822, whole genome shotgun sequence.
AUCUACGGCCAUAUCACCCUGAAUGCGCCCAAUCUCAUCCGAUCUUGGAAGCUAAGCCGGGUCGGGCCUGGUUAGUACUUGGAUGGGAGAAAUUUGUAGUCCUCCUGCCGAAUAGA